GGAAGUAAAAGCGUAACAAGGUUUCCGUAGGUGAACCUGCGGAAGGAUCAUUAUCGUACAAAAUGUGAGGGGCAUGCGAGGGCUGUCGCUGACCCAAAAGUCGUGCACGCCCGAGUGUGUCCUCUUGCAUAAUAAUCCAUCUCACCCUUUGUGCAUCACCGCGUGGGCACCCUUCGGGAUCAUCUCGGAGGGGGGCUCGCGUUUUCACACAAACCCCCCUUUUAAAAGUGUAGAAUGACCACACUUAUGCAAUCAAUACAACUUUCAACAACGGAUCUCUUGGCUCUC
rnacentral:misc_RNA from 1 species